rnacentral:rRNA from 1 species
UGCCAGCAGCCGCGGUAAUACAGAGGGUGCGAGCGUUAAUCGGAAUUACUGGGCGUAAAGGGUGUGUAGGUGGUUUGCUAAGUCGGGCGUGAAAUCCCAGGGCUUAACCUUGGAACUGCGUUCGAAACUGGCAAACUAGAGUACAGUAGAGGGAAGUGGAAUUUCCGGUGUAGCGGUGAAAUGCGUAGAUAUCGGAAGGAACAUCAGUGGCGAAGGCGACUUCCUGGACUGAAACUGACACUGAGACACGAAAGCGUGGGGAGCGAACAGGAUUAGAUA